GAGGCAGGACAGAAGAGCUCUGUCAGGCCUUCAGACAUGCAAAUCGACUCCAUGGAGACCCGUGCUUGUUUAACCCUGGGCAUGGGCCCUCAUUCCAGAGCAGCCUUGACCACGAUCUACCUGCCCAGCCCCAUCCUUCUUGCCCUUUGGUGCAGAAGCAACAGAUUCAGGGGAUACUCCAAGAUGAGCCUCCAGGCCCAGCUCCUCUGUCUCCUGGUGAUGGGCUUUCAGGGCUGCAGGGGGCGGCUCGUCCUGACUCAGACCCCAGAGACCCUAGCAGCAUCUCAGGACAGCUUCAUCUCCAUCACCUGUAGAAGUAGCGAGGAGGUAGGUACCUCCAUGGCCUGGUACCAACAGAAACCCAACGAGGCUCCCAGGCUGCUCAUCUUUGGGGCUUCUGCCCGGGCGGCCGGAACCCCAUUCCGGUUCCGGGGAAGCGGCUCUGGCUCUGACUUCUCCCUCACCAUCCAUGGAGUAGAGGCUGAAGACGCGGGGGUGUAUUACUGCCAGCAGCACUUCCGCUGGCCUCUCCCAGUGACAGGUCCUCAGACAAAAAUACCCUUCUGGGCUGUGGAUGCCAGUUGUUGA